AUGGAAGAAGAAAUUGAUGAAACUGUGAGCUCAUUGGAUGAAAAAGAUGAUGAGGAGAGCAAAGAACAAAAGGAGGAAGAGAGGAUUAGCUACCCGUGCCCACCUUCUAAUGAGAGUAACUCUUCAACUCAUACAUUGUUUAAUUCCCCUUUGUGCUUACCAGAGGAUGAUUGCUAUGAUGAUUGUUAUGAUCGCGUUGAUUCUCUUGAAAUAUCCCUUUCUGAUGAUACUUGCUAUGCUUGUGGCCAAGAUGCAAAUAUGAAUUAUGCUUAUCAAGAUGAACUUGCUAUAGUUCCUUAUGUCAAACAUGAAAUUUUUUCUAUUGCACCCACGCAUGAUAGUCCUAUUAUCUUUUCUCCCGACUACACUAUAUCGGAGAAGUUUGUGCUUAUUAAAGAUUAUAUUGAUGGAUUGCCUUUUACCGUUGCACAUGAUAAUUUUGAUGAAUGUAAUAUGCAUGUGCUUGCUGCUCCUACUUGUAAUUAUUAUGAUAGAGGAACUAUAUCUCCACCUCUCUAUGUUUCCAAUAUGAUAAAAUUGCAAGAAACUGCUUAUACUAUGCAUUGGCCUUUACUAUGUGUGCAUGAAUUGUUCUUUUAUGACAUGCCGAUACAUAGGAAGAGAGUUAGACUUCGUUGUUGCAUGAUAUAUGUCACUUUGUUCUCACUACUAAAUCACAAAUCAUUGUUAAUUAAAAUUGGCUUUGAUAUACCUUGGAAUUCGGGUGGAUCCAUUACUUGA
rnacentral:rRNA from 1 species